GAUUUCUGGUACGGCGCGCUUGGCCCGCCAGGGUUACCUGGUUGUGUGCUGGUGCGCGCCUGCCAUCCUUUUGCAUUUCAGUUCUAUCCUUUACUGGUGUGUAACUGGUUUGCAAAUCUUUUACUUUGAAAAAAUUAGAGUGUUUAAAGCAGGCUUGCGCUAUGAAUACAUUAGCAUGGAAUAAUAAUUUAGGACUUUGGUUCUAUUUUGUUGGUUUCUAGGACUAAAGUAAUGAUUGAUAGGGAUAGUUGGGGGUGCUAGUAUUCAGCGGCCAGAGGUGAAAUUCUUGGAUUCGCUGAAGACUAACUUAUGCGAAAGCAUU
rnacentral:rRNA from 1 species